CAAUAAAUGCUGCCUAGCCAGCAAUGCCUUCAUCCUGUUAAUUUAUAAAGAAAAAAAAUGUAUAUUAGCAUGAGUAGAUGAUUGGCUAAUAUAAGACAGAGAUAAAGGGGCAUUUAGAAGAUGGCAACCUCUAACUAGUGGUGUGUCACAGGGAUCAGAGCUGGGACCAGAAUUAUUUAUGAUAUAUAUGAAUAACUUCAGGGGCAGCAUGGUGGCACAGCAUUUUUUGUAUCAUUCAUAAACUUGACUACAGUCUAUUAAUUUUUCUUAUCUAAAUCAUAGAAUCCUUACUGUGCAGCUAAGAGGCCAUUUGGCCCAUAAAGUCUUCACCAACCCUCUGAACAGCAUCCCACCAAGGCCUACCCCAUCGCUGGAACCCCACAUAUUCCAUGGCUAAUUCACCCAGCCUAUACAUCCCAGAAACAGAAGCAGAACAUGACAGGGAGUGACACAGUGAGAAAGACCCCUCCACACAACACUCCAGCCUGCACCAAGAAAAAUACAAAUAACCCAUGCAACUGAAAGCAAACUUUGUUAUAUAUGUUUAAAUUAUUUUUAUUAACUUUUGAUUUCUAUUAAGUGUCAGUUGUAUCUUAUUUAAAGUUAAAUCCACCUAACCUACACAUCUUUGGACUGUGGAAGUAAACCAGAGAACCCAGUGGAAACCCAUACAGAGGUGCUGCCUGACUUGCUUGGAGUUGCUUUGCAUCACAGCUGCUGUAGUAAAUGGAAAAUACAAUGUACUAUCUGACGAAAGCUGGCAAAUCUAAGAGCCAUAAACUUUGCAAUAGUUUAAGUGAAAAUAAGUUCAGACUUUUAAAACUAAAAUGAGAUUCUGCUACUAAAAAUUUUAUACUUACUAAAUGAUUGAACAUA